ACUGGGUGUGGUUGUGCACUCCUGUAAUCCCAGUAACUCAGGAGGCUGAGGCAGGAAUGUCACAAGUUUGAGGCUAGCCUCAGCAACUUAAUGAGACCCUGUCUCAA
rnacentral:sRNA from 1 species